rnacentral:ncRNA from 1 species
AUGAAGCCGUGGUACAGUCAGGGAAACCUGAUGUCACAAAGCUAUAGGGGCUACAGAUCGCGAUCCAGGCUAGCCAGCUACCGUU